AAGUGUCGCAAUAAGGACCCUCUACCGGACCCGAUACGGCAUCCCUGGAUCCAUCUGUGAUGACUGUUUGGCAACCAGCUGCUGUCCUUUAUGUACUCUUUGCCAACUCAAGAGAGACAUCAACAGAAGGAGAGCCAUGCAUGCUUUCUGAAAAGCUAAUGGUAGAAAGCUCUUACUGAAGCAACUAAAAUCAGCAGCCACCUCUUCAGCUUGAGCACUUCUCUACCUUUUGCAACUUGAAAUAUGAUGAACAAGUUUCAUCACAACUGAUGGGGAAAAAAUCAAAUUUUUACUCAUUUUAAAUGAACACUCUCCCUUAAUUUCGCUAAAUGGUUCACCUUAGUUUUCCCUCACUUUCACGCUCUCAGAUUUUCUGCCUUAUAAAUUUUGAAGAUUACAUUUGAAUAUAAACCAAAUGAAAGAUUUUACUA